AGAGGUGGCAAGCGUUGUUCGGAAUUACUGGGCGUAAAGGGCGCGUAGGCGGCCAUCUAAGUCAGACGUGAAAUCCCCCGGCUUAACCUGGGAACUGCGUCUGAUACUGGACGGCUGGAGUUUGGGAGAGGGAUGUAGAAUUCCAGGUGUAGCGGUGAAAUGCGUAGAUAUCUGGAGGAAUACCGGUGGCGAAGGCGGCAUCCUGGACCAAUACUGACGCUGAGGCGCGAAAGCUAGGGGAGCAAACGGGAUUAGAUACCCCGGUAGUCCUAGCCCUAAACGAUGAAUACUUGGUGUGGCGGGUAUCGAUCCCUGCCGUGCCGAAGCUAACGCAUUAAGUAUUCCGCCUGGGGAGUACGGUCGCAAGGCUG
rnacentral:rRNA from 1 species